rnacentral:rRNA from 1 species
CCUACGGGAGGCAGCAGUAAGGAAUAUUGGUCAAUGGACGAAAGUCUGAACCAGCCAUGCCGCGUGAAGGAUUAAGGCCCUCUGGGUUGUAAACUUCUUUUAUCUGGGACGAAAAAAGGGUAUUCUUACUCACUUGACGGUACCAGAGGAAUAAGCACCGGCUAACUCCGUGCCAGCAGCCGCGGUAAUACGGAGGGUGCAAGCGUUAUCCGGAUUUACUGGGUUUAAAGGGUGCGUAGGUGGGCUUGUAAGUCAGUGGUGAAAUCUCCGGGCUUAACCCGGAAACUGCCAUUGAUACUAUAGGUCUUGAAUUAUCUGGAGGUAAGCGGAAUAUGUCAUGUAGCGGUGAAAUGCUUAGAUAUGACAUAGAACACCAAUUGCGAAGGCAGCUUACUACGGAUAUAUUGACACUGAGGCACGAAAGCGUGGGGAUCAAACAGGAUUAGAUACCCUGGUAGUCCACGCCCUAAACGAUGGAUACUCGACAUCAGCGAUACACUGUUGGUGUCUGAGCGAAAGCAUUAAGUAUCCCACCUGGGAAGUACGAUCGCAAGAUUGAAACUCAAAUGAAAUUGACGG